AUUGAACGCUGGCGGCAGGCCUAACACAUGCAAGUCGAGCGGAUGAAGGGAGCUUGCUCCUGGAUUCAGCGGCGGACGGGUGAGUAAUGCCUAGGAAUCUGCCUGGUAGUGGGGGAUAACGUCCGGAAACGGGCGCUAAUACCGCAUACGUCCUGAGGGAGAAAGUGGGGGAUCUUCGGACCUCACGCUAUCAGAUGAGCCUAGGUCGGAUUAGCUAGUUGGUGGGGUAAAGGCCUACCAAGGCGACGAUCCGUAACUGGUCUGAGAGGAUGAUCAGUCACACUGGAACUGAGACACGGUCCAGACUCCUGCGGGAGGCAGCAGUGGGGAAUAUUGGACAAUGGGCGAAAGCCUGAUCCAGCCAUGCCGCGUGUGUGAAGAAGGUCUUCGGAUUGUAAAGCACUUUAAGUUGGGAGGAAGAGCAGUAAGUUAAUACCUUGCUGUUUUGACGUUACCAACAGAAUAAGCACCGGCUAACUUCGUG
rnacentral:rRNA from 1 species